AGCAUUAUUUGGAAGCCUUGAAAUUAGAAAAAUAUGCUUUGGAUGGACCUAUUCAGCAAGUUAAGUUGAAAUGGAGUUAGUUCAAGCGUUUGCCUGCUCAUCCCAGCACAUAAAUAUAUUUCUACCCAAAAGAUUGUGUAUUGUUCAAUUUUCAUUCCCUGUUGUACGUUGACUAUUAUCUUCUUAUUUUUUCAUAAGACUUCACAUCUCGCAGGAUGAAACUAAUCCGGUCAAAUCUCGGUCUGUUCUCAAAAGGAUAUGAUGUUCAAUGCAAAGAUUAGAGUUGAAGCUUAUCCCCUUCCAAUCUUUUGAGCCCAUUAGGCAUUAGUGUGCUUUGGACACCACAGCUUGUUAUCCUUCCACUGCAGAGAGGAGGAGGUUUUCGCUGCUCUGUGAAGCCAGCCUCACGCAGUACCCUCCAAUCUAAGGAGGGAGUAGCCUCCGCCUUCGCUAAGACUACUCCAUCAACUCACCACUUGGAAUGGGCAGGCCAGUAGAUAGCAACCUAAGCCCAGCCUUCAGAGCAAGCCCAAUUCUUCCACCAUCUUAAUGCUCUCGCUUGAGUUACAAGCUCGCACUACCAAGCCCAGCAAGCAAUUCUUCUAGCUAGGGACUUAUUAAGAGAACAUAUUUCUCAUAUGGUUUCGAUGUGGGAAGUUGUGCGAGGGCUUGUUUGGCUUUCAUGGCGUAAAAAUGGAGCAGACAACUAUUGUGUAUUCAUGGUUUUUGACAGCUAUGAGAUUUGCGUUGUAUCAUUGUGACGGAAGGAGAUGAAGAAACAACGGGCGCAUUAUUUCUCGCUGGAUGAAA